AGCUCCAAUAGCGUAUAUUAAAGUUGUUGCAGUUAAAAAGCUCGUAGUUGGAUCUCUGGUACGGUGCGCCUGGCCCACCGUCGCAAGGCGUGUGAGUGUCGGUGUGCGCCUGCCAUUUAUCUGGGGAAUGGCACGCACUUCACUGUGCGGGUCGCGAUCCAGGUCUUUUACUUUGAAAAAAUUAGAGUGUUUAAAGCAGGCUUGCGCUAUGAAUACAUUAGCAUGGAAUAAUAAUUUAGGACUUUGUUCCUAUUUUGUUGGUUUCUAGGAAUGAAGUAAUGAUUGAUAGGGAUAGUUGGGGGUGCUAGUAUUCAUCGGCCAGAGGUGAAAUUCUUGGAUUCGAUGAAGACUAACUUAUGCGAAAGCAUUCACCAAGGAUGUCUUCU
rnacentral:rRNA from 1 species